rnacentral:rRNA from 1 species
CCUUUGACGUUAGCGGCGGACGGGUGAGUAACACGUGGGUAACCUACCUAUAAGACUGGGAUAACUUCGGGAAACCGGAGCUAAUACCGGAUAAUAUUUGAACCGCAUGGUUCGAUAGUGAAAGAUGGUUUUGCUAUCACUUAUAGAUGGACCCGCGCCGUAUUAGCUAGUUGGUAAGGUAACGGCUUACCAAGGCGACGAUACGUAGCCGACCUGAGAGGGUGAUCGGCCACACUGGAACUGAGACACGGUCCAGACUCCUACGGGAGGCAGCAGUA